rnacentral:rRNA from 1 species
UACAGAGACUGCAAGCGUUAUUCGGAUUCACUGGGCGUAAAGGGUGCGCAGGCGGCCGUGUGUGUUAGGCGUGAAAGCCCGAGGCUCAACCUCGGAAUUGCACCUAAAACUACACGGCUAGAGUACUGGAGAGGGUAGCAGAAUUCAUGGUGUAGCAGUGAAAUGCGUAGAUAUCAUGAGGAAUACCAAAGGCGAAGGCAGCUACCUGGACAGUGACUGACGCUCAGGCACGAAAGCGUGGGGAG